UACGGAGGUGGCAAGCGUUGUUCGGAAUUACUGGGCGUAAAGGGCGCGUAGGCGGCAUGGCAAGUCAGAUGUGAAAGCCCCGGGCUUAACUCGGGAAUUGCAUCUGAAACUGCUUUGCUUGAGUCCUGGAGGGGGUAGUGGAAUUCCCAGUGUAGCGGUGAAAUGCGUAGAUAUUGGGAGGAACACCGGUGGCGAAGGCGGCUACCUGGACAGUGACUGACGCUGAGGCGCGAAAGCUAGGGUAGCAAACGGG
rnacentral:rRNA from 1 species